rnacentral:rRNA from 2 species
UACGAAGGGGGCUAGCGUUGUUCGGAAUCACUGGGCGUAAAGCGCGCGUAGGCGGAUUGUUAAGUCAGGGGUGAAAUCCCGAGGCUCAACCUCGGAACUGCCUUUGAUACUGGCGAUCUAGAGUCCGGGAGAGGUGAGUGGAACUCCUAGUGUAGAGGUGAAAUUCGUAGAUAUUAGGAAGAACACCAGUGGCGAAGGCGGCUCACUGGCCCGGUACUGACGCUGAUGUGCGAAAGCGUGGGGAGCAAACAGG